rnacentral:ncRNA from 2 species
UAUCUUUGGCUCGCGUCUGGUGCUCACGCGCGCUUUUCCUGCGUGCGUAGUUAAACGGGAAACAGGAUGCAGGUGCGCAUGUUUCAGGCGCCGCUGCAUAUGAAAAACCUGUGCUGUCCCCGCAACGGUACGCGCCCCCGCGUCGGUUCGAAUCGCCUGGAACAAGGGUUCAAUCGAAGCACAUUUGCUUCACUGCCACUGCCUUGCAAGGCGGGAAGGCUCAAGCGAAUGCGGUCGCCAAGCCCGGAUACCGGCCAGCGCAAGUGGCACGUC